CGCUUACCAAUGAUGGUGAAACAAAAAUGUCUGAACAAUUGAAUUUACUGUGAUAUCAGUUAUUUUCUCUGAGGUAAGCA